rnacentral:rRNA from 1 species
UACGUAGGGGGCAAGCGUUGUCCGGAUUUAUUGGGCGUAAAGAGCGUGUAGGCGGCUUGACAGGUCUGCUGUGAAAACCCGAGGCUCAACCUCGAGAUGUCGGCGGAAACCGUCUGGCUAGAGUCCGGAAGAGGAGAGUGGAAUUCCUGGUGUAGCGGUGAAAUGCGCAGAUAUCAGGAAGAACACCUAUGGCGAAGGCAGCUCUCUGGGACGGUACUGACGCUGAGACGCGAAAGCGUGGGGAGCGAACAGG